rnacentral:snoRNA from 1 species
GCAUGGACUCAAUGGCAGUAGGUGGAUUUAAACACAAAACAAGUACCCACGGGCCUCUCAUCAUGUCCCACGCCAGAGCCAACCACAGCCCCGGACCAUUGCCUUGUCUACUAGCCCAUAGGCUUCUGGCACUCAAGUGGGUUGCACAGUU